rnacentral:lncRNA from 1 species
UGAUCGUUGGUGUUGUCGCUGUUGUUGUCAUGGGAUCAGUGCCUCACCACUUCAAUGUCAUGAUUCUUGGCCCAAGGCAGCCUUUGUAUGGAGGUGUCCAUUGUAUUGUUGGGAUAGUAGCAGAUGUGCCAUUGUUCUAUUGUGUAAUUCUGUCCGUUCUUGCUAUAUUCCUGUGUAAAGAAAUGUAUUCAAGAGAUGAGUUAUUGUGUUAUGUAAACCUGGGAGAUGUAUUAUGUGAUGUUAUAUGAUGC